rnacentral:tRNA from 1 species
UUUUAUAUAAUAUAUACAAAUAUAUUCAAUUUCGACUUGAAAAAAAAUAAAUCACUUAUUUAUUUAAU